GAUGAACGCUGGCGGCGUGCCUAAUACAUGCAAGUCGAGCGAACAGACGAGGAGCUUGCUCCUCUGACGUUAGCGGCGGACGGGUGAGUAACACGUGGAUAACCUACCUAUAAGACUGGGAUAACUUCGGGAAACCGGAGCUAAUACCGGAUAAUAUAUUGAACCGCAUGGUUCAAUAGUGAAAGACGGUUUUGCUGUCACUUAUAGAUGGAUCCGUGCCGCAUUAGCUAGUUGGUAAGGUAACGGCUUACCAAGGCAACGAUGCGUAGCCGACCUGAGAGGGUGAUCGGCCACACUGGAACUGAGACACGGUCCAGACUCCUACGGGAGGCAGCAGUAGGGAAUCUUCCGCAAUGGGCGAAAGCCUGACGGAGCAACGCCGCGUGAGUGGUGAAGGUCUUCGGAUCGUAAAACUCUGUUAUUAGGGAAGAACAAAUGUGUAAGUAACUAUGCACGUCUUGACGGUACCUAAUCAGAAAGCCACGGCUAACUACGUG
rnacentral:rRNA from 1 species